AGUCCCAUGGUGUAGUGGCCAAUCAUAGCGGCCUUUGGAGCCGUUGACGGCGGUUCGAAUCCGCCUGGGACUA
rfam:Haloferax sp. SB29 contig_46, whole genome shotgun sequence.